rnacentral:rRNA from 1 species
GGCGGCAGGCUUAACACAUGCAAGUCGAGCGGCAGCACGGGAAGCUUGCUUCCUUGGUGGCGAGCGGCGGACGGGUGAGUAAUGCAUAGGAAUCUGCCCGGUAGUGGGGGAUAACCUGGGGAAACCCAGGCUAAUACCGCAUACGCCCUACGGGGGAAAGCAGGGGCUCUUCGGACCUUGCGCUAUCGGAUGAGCCUAUGUCGGAUUAGCUGGUUGGUGAGGUAAUGGCUCACCAAGGCGACGAUCCGUAGCUGGUCUGAGAGGAUGAUCAGCCACAUCGGGACUGAGACACGGCCCGAACUCCUACGGGAGGCAGCAGUGGGGAAUAUUGGACAAUGGGCGCAAGCCUGAUCCAGCCAUGCCGCGUGUGUGAAGAAGGCCCUCGGGUUGUAAAGCACUUUCAGUGGGGAAGAAAGCCUGGUGGUUAAUACCCGUCAGGAAGGACAUCACCCACAGAAGAAGCACCGGCUAACUCCGUGCCAGCAGCCGCGGUAAUACGGAGGGUGCGAGCGUUAAUCGGAAUUACUGGGCGUAAAGCGCGCGUAGGUGGCUUGAUAAGCCGGUUGUGAAAGCCCCGGGCUCAACCUGGGAACGGCAUCCGGAACUGUCAGGCUAGAGUGCAGGAGAGGAAGGUAGAAUUCCCGGUGUAGCGGUGAAAUGCGUAGAGAUCGGGAGGAAUACCAGUGGCGAAGGCGGCCUUCUGGACUGACACUGACACUGAGGUGCGAAAGCGUGGGUAGCAAACAGGAUUAGAUACCCUGGUAGUCCACGCCGUAAACGAUGUCGACUAGCCGUUGGGUCCUUCGCGGACUUUGUGGCGCAGUUAACGCGAUAAGUCGACCGCCUGGGGAGUACGGCCGCAAGGUUAAAACUCAAAUGAAUUGACCGGGGCCCGCACAAGCGGUGGAGCAUGUGGUUUAAUUCGAUGCAACGCGAAGAACCUUACCUACCCUUGACAUCUUGCGAACCCUUCAGAGACGAAAGGGUGCCUUCGGGAACGCAGAUACAGGUGCUGCAUGGCUGUCGUCAGCUCGGGUUGUGAAUUGUUGGGUUAAAUCCCGUAA